ensembl:lncRNA
UUCAUGUAACACACAGUAACACACAGUAACACACAGUAACACACAGUAACACACAACACACCGUAACACACAACACACAGUAACACACAGUAACACACAUAAACACAGUAACACACAACACACAGUAACACACCGUAACACACAGUAACACACAGUAACACACAGUAACACACCGUAACACACACACAGUAACACACAACACACAGUAACACACAACACACAGUAACACACAGUAACACACAUAAACACACCGUAACACACAACACACAUAACCACACAGUAACACACAGUAACACACAACACACCGUAACACACAGUAACACACAACACACAGUAACACACAGUAACACACAGCACACAGUAACACACAGUAACACACAGUAACACACAGUAACACACAACACACAGUAAACACAGUAACACACAGUAACAC